GAUGAAGAACGUAGCGAAAUGCGAUAAGUAAUGUGAAUUGCAGAAUUCAGUGAAUCAUCGAAUCUUUGAACGCGCAUUGCGCCCCCUGGUAUUCCGGGGGGCAUGCCUGUCCGAGCGUCAUUACAACCCUCAAGCUCAGCUUGGUGUUGGGCCCCGCCGCCCCGGCGGGCCCUAAAGUCAGUGGCGGUGCCGUCCGGCUCCGAGCGUAGUAAUUCUUCUCGCUCUGGAGGUCCGGUCGUGUGCUCGCCAGCAACCCCCAAUUUUUUUCAGGUUGACCUCGGAUCAGGUAGGGAUACCCGCUGAACUUAAGCAUAUCAAUAAGCGGAGGA
rnacentral:misc_RNA from 1 species